UACGUAGGGAGCGAGCGUUAUCCGGAUUUAUUGGGUGUAAAGGGUGCGUAGGCGGCUUUACAGGUCUGUGGUUUAAGCCCGAAGCUUAACUUCGGUUCGCCACAGAAACCGUAUCGCUUGAGUAUGGUAGAGGCAAGUGGAAUUUCUAGUGUAGCGGUUAAAUGCGUAGAUAUUAGAAGGAACACCAGUGGCGAAGGCGACUUGCUGGGCCAUUACUGACGCUGAGGCACGAAAGCGUGGGGAGCAAAUA
rnacentral:rRNA from 1 species